UGUUCUCAAGAAAGAGAGUUCAGGAAGCAGAGACCCUACUGCUCAGGCCGACCUCAGGUGUCACCUGACAGGGGCCUUUUUGCCCCUAUGGGAGGGGCCGCCCCAGCUUCCCCCCUGCUUCUAGCUGUGUCUCCUCCACGGCGGCAAUUCCUGAUGGACCAGACCCAGGACACUCGGCCCACGGCCACAUCUGCCGCUCGCCCUGCUCCUACGACAGGAACAGGCUCCAUUUUCCUGUGCUGGUUGAUGUGGAAGCCUCGCAAACGUCAAGGAUUAGAGAAUUCCUCUUAUGAUGUCCUGGGUCGGAGUUCAAAAUAAGAACAUCAGAGCAGUCUUCUCGGACUCUCAUCUGUGGGCCAACGUCCAAAAAUGUGAACAGUUUGCCAAGAGAGAAAUACGAAAACUGAGAUCAACCACUUAAAAACUUUGAAGGCAGAGAUUUGCAAUAUCGGCACUAAUGACAUCUCGAGCCAGACGACCUCGUGGUGUGGGGUCCAUCCUGGGCACUGCAGGACAUUGAGCGGCACCCCUGGCCUCCACCUAUGCCAUAAACACCACUCUCCCCAGCUGCGACAGCCAAAAAUGUCCCCCGACAUUGCCACAUGUCUGCUGGGGGUCCAAUCACAGCUCCCACCCCAGUGGAGAACCAUCGUUUGAAAGCGAUUUGACAAAGGAAUUUUAUGUCUGUUCGAUCUAAUAAUAAAAAUAUUGGGCCCUGAA